UGGUUGCACAAUAAAGGGUCUGUAUUUACAGUUUAAGUAUCUACAAAAUACAUUUAAAAUAAUUCCUCCAGUCUUACUAAAUCUCAAUAAAAAGAACAAAAAAACAAACAACACUACUCCCUAAAUUUUAGUUGUCCCCAUCAAUGUCCAGAUUCCACCCAGGAGAUCAGUCCCAAAUAAAAUGGCUGAGGAUGAGAAGAAUCCGGGAAAGCUGUAAACAGCUCCCCAUUUCUAUCCCCCAUGGGGGGGCUUCCUCUCCCCACCAGUUUCAGCCUUAGCUCUUGGAACCCACUGCCCUCUUGGGACAGAGUCCGCCCUACAUCAUCCUACCUACUGGCUGUGCAUCCCUCUCACAUCUUUUUAAAGAGAUAUUUUGGGAAGCAGCACACGCACAUCCAGAGACCAAUUACUCAAUCUCCCAGCAAGUAUGGAGAUGAUGGAAGUAUAGCCCUUCCGUCUCCUAGCAACGGCGUGGGGGAGGGGGAAGGCUGGAAAGUGAGCUGGUUGCCCAGCACCACCCUGCGUAGAAGGCAUUUGCGCAUUUCGCUUUUGUUGUCUUUGAUGGCCAUUUCUAAAACGGGCUCUGUAUUCUUGGGGGGAUUUUAGGCACUUAAGUUAUUCUUUUAAAAGAUCUCUGCUGACAUCCUCAGGUCCUAUAAUUAACAUCUCAAGCCUUCGCAGGCCGGAAGUGUUCCGUCACCCCUAAAAAUACAGAGCCCCACCUUGGUCUUCCUCCUGUGGCUUAGUAGGAUUUUGGCCAGUCUCCUACUUCCUCACGCUGUCGCUUGCCUUUACACAUAUUCGCCCCAGAUGUGGACAUUCAAGCACUCCGUUCUUUUUUUUUUUUUUCUUUGUCUUUUUUUUUUCUUUCUGAAUUGUGAACUCUGCCCUCUAGAAAAAUCAAGAUUACAGUCACUGGACAUCUUAGUUUGCUUUUUCACCUAAAACGACCAACCAAAGCAGAUUUCCCCAUCUGUUGUCCCAGUGCCUCCAUGAUCUCCAGGUCUUCUCCACCCUCCCCUACCACAAAUGUGUCCUUGACAAGGCACAGAGCUCCAAAGUCCCUUGGAAUUUCCUAAGUGAGGAGAGCAAUAAACAUCAAUAAAUAUCAAUGACAGCAAGAAACAUCAACCAACUUUGGAAAGUACCUAAGGGUGAGGGCUGGUUACCAGAAGAACCAAACCUGUGAUCCAAGGGUUGAAAUUUCCCUACUACCUACCUGACCUCUAGACAAGAUGUUCACCUGUAUGCAGGGAGGACUACAUUGCCUUAUCAGGAGAACCCAGCAGGACCUGAUGUGAUACACAUGCACUCCGAUAACUUCCUAGCGGGAAUGUAACUGGACACGACCACUUUAGAGAAGAAUUCGGGAAAGUGGACUACUGAAGCUGAACAUGCAUGCACCUUGACCAGAGUUCCAUUCCUAGGGAGGAAACUGAACAUACACGUGAGCAGCACCGUCAUUAGAUGCACCACAGUUGAGCCCCGCAGAGAAUGUAUGGAGAAAAGGCUUCUGAUCGAGUCCAGGCAGACAGGAUGUUCUUGAAGCACGGCCGGCCAGCGAUGACCCCAGACCUGUAUCUGAUGAAGCCGUAGAUGGGGGAGAGCUGGAGGUUGUUUUUCAACCUUAGGUAAUAUUUAUACCUCCCCAUUUUGUUUUUUGGGUUUUAUUUAUUUUUUAUUUUUUUCAGGCCAGGGCCCCAAGCCAAUUGUACGAUCUUUCCAUGCCAGGGUGAGUCUAUGUGUCUUGCUUCCCUUUGCCAUUUUGUAUAGAGUCUUGAGGAGAAGAGCAUGUGUGGUCUAAAAGAAAUUGAGUAGAAUCUGCAGAGAGCUUGAGUGAGGCCCAUGGGCUCCACAGUAGGAGGCCAGAAUGGGGCAGGUUCUCUUGUGCCAUGGGCACGAUUUGUGGUCCAGCCAUGUCAAAGCCAUUUCAUGAAGGAAAAGCAAGCUGAGUAGAAGGCAGAAGUCUUUUGGCCAUUGCCCCGUGCACAAAACUGGCCCCACUGGCAAAGCAAGACGAAGCUACCCAGGUGCAAGGCUUAGACGGGGGGACCAGAGGGCCAUUUGGAUGAUGUUUCAUGGCCCCAAGGCACAGCAAAUGAAAUUAUACUAAGAGUCUCAAAAAAGCAAAGAAAGAAAUAAAAGGAGAUACCCAUCAUACAAUUCCGAUUUUAGGUCUCAUUCCCAGACCUCUUUUCUGUUUUCACGAUAAAUUAAUAUUUUGGUAAAUUCUGUAAAGUUUUUGUGAAUAGUGUAAUGAUUCCAUCAUUGUCACAGUAAAACAUUUAUUUAUUGAAUGGCAUGUGUAAAAUAGACUUCAGUUUUUACAACCUUGUUUAAUAUUUACUCACUUUUAAAUACACCUCAAAAAUACAUAGUUUAUGUGUUUUAAAUAUACUUAAGUUUUAUUGAAAUACAUUUAUAAUUCAAAAACAUGUUUCGGCAAAAUGGUGCCCUGGUUUCUUAGCUGUAAGGAUCACCAAAUGUGCAGAAGCCGAGAUGAAAGAAAGGAGCUACGCCAUAAACCCCAUAAGUUGGCCUGGGCCUCGCUGACAGAGAACACAGAGCUGAAGGGAAACCGUCCAUCACAAGUAAGAAAACACCAAGGACUCAAACAGUGACAUUGGGAAAAACAGAGAGAGAGAGAGAGAAAAGAAAAAACAAAACAAAACAAAACAAAACAAAACAAAAAACAAGAUAGGAGAAAUCUCAGAUUUUUUUUUCAUGAGUAUUUGGGGCUUUGAACAUCAUGUUUGGAGAAUAGCUGGUGACAAAUUCCUUUCUUGUUGAUGCAAGUUGGUAACUGGAAAUUCUACUCCGAUGAAACCACAGAUACAUUCUCAGACAACACACUAACCAGAGAUUCCCCACCUCCCGAAGGCGCAUGCAGACAUGCAGACUAGCUGGUGAAUUCCAAGAGAUCAGGCCCUGUCUGAGGGUCCUUGACAUCCUUGGGGAAUGCUGGGUUGUGACAAAGACAAGCCAACUUCCACCAAAACCCUGCAUUGUGUCGUGCCCCACCCCCUGAGGGGGCAAACUUCCUGACACUUCCUCAGUGAAGCCACUCUCAGCCUGCCUGGCCUGCUCUCCUGGGCCCUCAAGUUGUGGCCAUGUUAACGCUCAGAGCGCUAUGCUAAUCAGGGGUGACUGGCAUUUUGUGCAAUUUUUUUUUUUGGAUGGGGGUGCCCAAGACUAAAUCAGACUAAUGAUGAAACAAGCACCAUUUUUCUAGCUCUGUUCUCACCUCGUAUUCUCAACAGUGACUUCUAGAAGUUUCCCUGGUAGCGUCUCACAUGAGUUCCACAGACCAGCUCUGCCCGAUGCAGGUCGGCGUGCCCCCGCUCCCUGUCCCUGGGAUGUACCAAGUUGCUGAUGCACAGAUGACAAAGCCAACGGUGAGGGCACACACCGCUGAAUCCUCAACAGCACGGCCGCUGAUUUCCUCCAAGGGGCUGUUCUCGGUGGCCCCUGUCACAUAACCUCUCCCAAAUCUGUGUGUUUAUGGUUUCAAAGUCACUGUCCCUAUUUCCUUUUAUCACUGACCAUGCUGGUGUUGUUGGCGUUGCUGAGAUCUUGCAAUAUUAAGAUCGCGCUGAGAUUCUGAUCAAACGGCUGCCCAGUUCUGGGCUCCCUCUUCCUUGCACACCCCUCCACGUGGACAUCAAGUGACAGAAUUGUGCUGUAAUCACCCAACUCUCUAGCUCAUGCUCCAAAUCUGUAUGCCUGAAAACUCAUCCCAGAAGGCUCCUUGGGGCGUAUUGCAAAUUACUCCAGCUUCUUCGAAGACAUCAGCACACAUGCCCUCACCCCCCGACCCCACCACACCCACCUGCACCCUGCUAUGGACAUUCCCACAGGAUCCACGCUAUGGGGGUGCCCCACACAUCAUGUAGGUAUCUAAGAAAGGUUUGUGAAAGGAACAGUCACUUUCACUGAAAGCAGGCAGCCCUGGCAAUGUGUUGCUUAUUGUUGGCGCAAAGGGGGUGUUUGCAGCCUCUCUUUGGGGGUGCGGGGUGGGACAGAUAAGGUCAUAAGACUCAAUCUCAGAGUCUCUCCCUCAGGCUUGCCUCCACAGGAGGACUUCUUGUCAAGACGUCACUGUGACUGCCAUCCAUGCUGGAUGUGGUUCUCUGUGUCCACGGUGCGUGAGGACCACCCGGGUCCCCACCCAGGUCAAUCGGUGUCAGUUCUCUGGGGUUUUUUCAGUCCCCCAGUGAUCUUCCUGCACCUCAGAGCUGUAAGUACUGCUGCAGAGCAAACCCAUAAACACACAGACACGUAAACCUCUGAAGAUUCAAGCAGCUUAUUUUAUCAUUGUCAUUCUUGUAACACUUGUCCAACGUAUCAAGAUCUUGAGUUUGAAGGUAACAGUGUUUGGGGAGCCUGGGUGGCUCAGUUGGUUAAGGGUCCGACCUCAGCUCAGGUCAUGAUCUCUCGGUU